rnacentral:piRNA from 1 species
UGAGGACCUGUCGCGCCUGCUCCA